rnacentral:ncRNA from 1 species
AAAGUCUUGGUCCUAAACCUAAUAUUGUCUGUGACUCAGAUUAUACAUGCAAGCCUCCACAUAACAGUGAGAUUGCCCACAACAAAACGGAGCAGGUAUCAGAUACAACCUAUAUUAUCCAUGACAUCAAGCACUUGCCACCCCCACACGGGCCUGCAGCAGUAGUUAACAUUGGGCAAUAAGUGCAAACUUGACCCAGCUAGAGUCAAUUAGAGCCGGUUAAUAUCGUGCCAGCGACCGCGGUUAUACGAUAGACUCAAGACAAUACUAACGGCGUAAAGCACGAUCAGAAUAAGUACACAACCUUAAGGACGAAAAAAAACUAAGCUGUAGAACGCUCAAGUUAAACUAAGACCACUUCCCUAAGAACUACCAAUUUCAACUCGUGAAAGCUAGGACACAAACUAGGAUUAGAUACCCUACUAUGCCUAGCCCUAACCCCCUUUAAGGCCACUUGGCUCGCCAAAUCACUACGAGUGAAAACUUAAAAUUUAAAGGACUUGACGGUGUCCUAUGUUCAACCUAGAGGAGCCUGUCUAAUAACCGAUAACCCACGAUUAACCCUACCACCCAAGGCCACACAGUCUAUAUACCGCCGUCGAAAGCCUAUCUUACAAAAGAAACAAAAUGAGCUAAAUAGUACUACACUAACACGACAGGUCGAGGUGUAACUAAUAGGGUGGGACCAAGAUGGGCUACAUUACUUAAUUCAAGUAAUACGAACAAGACUAUGAAACUAGACCUCAAAGGCGGAUUUAGUAGUAAGCUAGGAAUAGAAUACCUAACUGAAUACAAUGCAAUGGGACGCGUACACACCGCCCGUCAUCCCUGUCAAACAAAUCAAAAAAUACAUAAUAAGUCAUUAAACCAAAGACAGGGCAAGUCGUAACAUGGUAAGCGUACUGGAAAGUGUGCUUAGAAU